AUGGUUUCUGGCCGUUCUCUGCUGGCUGUGAUCUUCAUUUCUAUUCAGGGAUCCUGUGGAGAGAUUGUGGUGACCCAAUCUCCAGAUUAUAUGUCUGUGUCCCCAGGAGAUACAGUCACCAUCUUAUGUACAGCCAGUUCUGCUAUAGAUGAUGAUUUAUCCUGGUACCAACAGAAGCCAGGACAACGACUAAAGCUUCUAAUUUAUGGUGCAACCACCAGAUAUACAGGAGUCCCAGAGCGGUUCACUGGGACAGGGUAUGACUAUAAAUUCACUCUUACAAUCACAGGAGUGACAGGAGAUGAUAUAGCAGAUUAUUACUGUAUGCAGGAUGAAGCUCUCCCUCUCACACAGUGA